UACGGAGGGUGCGAGCGUUGUCCGGAAUCAUUGGGCGUAAAGGGCGCGUAGGUGGCCUGCUAAGCGUGCGGUGAAAGUCGGGGGCUCAACCCCCGAUCGGCCGUGCGAACUGGGAGGCUUGAGCACUGUAGAGGCAGGCGGAAUUCCGGGUGUAGCGGUGGAAUGCGUAGAGAUCCGGAGGAACACCAGUGGCGAAGGCGACUACCUGGCCUGUUCUUGACGCUGAGGCGCGAAAGCUAGGGGAGCAAACGGG
rnacentral:rRNA from 1 species